GGCGAAUCCCGUCGACGCCGGCAAAGACACUCCACGAAAGGACCACCGAUUGACUCCUUACUUCCGAGCGAGUCUUCCUCUUCCAUUGAUUUCGGCGAUAGGGCUCAACCGACGGAAACAGCAUGGAUGGCAGUGGCAAAGCAACUGUCGGGGGUCAUUUCCGGCCAGAAAGGGGCAUACCCAGUUCAAGUGGAUCACGGAAUCGGAGUCCCCA
rnacentral:lncRNA from 1 species